AAUGGGUCAGCGACUUAUAUUCUGUAGCAAGGUUAACCGAAUAGGGGAGCCGAAGGGAAACCGAGUCUUAACUGGGCGUUAAGUUGCAGGGUAUAGACCCGAAACCCGGUGAUCUAGCCAUGGGCAGGUUGAAGGUUGGGUAACACUAACUGGAGGACCGAACCGACUAAUGUUGAAAAAUUAGCGGAUGACUUGUGGCUGGGGGUGAAAGGCCAAUCAAACCGGGAGAUAGCUGGUUCUCCCCGAAAGCUAUUUAGGUAGCGCCUCGUGAAUUCAUCUCCGGGGGUAGAGCACUGUUUCGGCAAGGGGGUCAUCCCGACUUACCAACCCGAUGCAAACUGCGAAUACCGGAGAAUGUUAUCACGGGAGACACACGGCGGGUGCUAACGUCCGUCGUGAAGAGGGAAACAACCCAGACCGCCAGCUAAGGUCCCAAAGUCAUGGUUAAGUGGGAAACGAUGUGGGAAGGCCCAGACAGCCAGGAUGUUGGCUUAGAAGCAGCCAUCAUUUAAAGAAAGCGUAAUAGCUCACUGGUCGAGUCGGCCUGCGCGGAAGAUGUAACGGGGCUAAACCAUGCACCGAAGCUGCGGCAGCGACGCUUAUGCGUUGUUGGGUAGGGGAGCGUUCUGUAAGCCUGUGAAGGUGUGCUGUGAGGCAUGCUGGAGGUAUCAGAAGUGCGAAUGCUGACAUAAGUAACGAUAAAGCGGGUGAAAAGCCCGCUCGCCGGAAGACCAAGGGUUCCUGUCCAACGUUAAUCGGGGCAGGGUGAGUCGACCCCUAAGGCGAGGCCGAAAGGCGUAGUCGAUGGGAAACAGGUUAAUAUUCCUGUACUUGGUGUUACUGCGAAGGGGGGACGGAGAAGGCUAUGUUGGCCGGGCGACGGUUGUCCCGGUUUAAGCGUGUAGGCUGGUUUUCCAGGCAAAUCCGGAAAAUCAAGGCUGAGGCGUGAUGACGAGGCACUACGGUGCUGAAGCAACAAAUGCCCUGCUUCCAGGAAAAGCCUCUAAGCAUCAGGUAACAUCAAAUCGUACCCCAAACCGACACAGGUGGUCAGGUAGAGAAUACCAAGGCGCUUGAGAGAACUCGGGUGAAGGAACUAGGCAAAAUGGUGCCGUAACUUCGGGAGAAGGCACGCUGAUAUGUAGGUGAAGCGACUUGCUCGUGGAGCUGAAAUCAGUCGAAGAUACCAGCUGGCUGCAACUGUUUAUUAAAAACACAGCACUGUGCAAACACGAAAGUGGACGUAUACGGUGUGACGCCUGCCCGGUGCCGGAAGGUUAAUUGAUGGGGUCAGCGCAAGCGAAGCUCUUGAUCGAAGCCCCGGUAAACGGCGGCCGUAACUAUAACGGUCCUAAGGUAGCGAAAUUCCUUGUCGGGUAAGUUCCGACCUGCACGAAUGGCGUAAUGAUGGCCAGGCUGUCUCCACCCGAGACUCAGUGAAAUUGAACUCGCUGUGAAGAUGCAGUGUACCCGCGGCAAGACGGAAAGACCCCGUGAACCUUUACUAUAGCUUGACACUGAACAUUGAGCCUUGAUGUGUAGGAUAGGUGGGAGGCUUUGAAGUGUGGACGCCAGUCUGCAUGGAGCCGACCUUGAAAUACCACCCUU
rnacentral:rRNA from 1 species